rfam:Macrostomum lignano uti_cns_0005685, whole genome shotgun sequence.
GGGGUUGUAGCCUAGUGGUUGGAGCGUCGGACUCACGACUUGAAAGUCGGGGGUUCGAUUCCCGAUCCCA